rnacentral:misc_RNA from 1 species
GAAAUGCGAUAAGUAAUGUGAAUUGCAGAAUUCAGUGAAUCAUCGAAUCUUUGAACGCACAUUGCGCCCGCCAGUAUUCUGGCGGGCAUGCCUGUUCGAGCGUCAUUACAACCCUCAGGCCCCCGGUCCUGUCGUUGGGGAUCGGCGGAAGCCCCCUGCGGGCACAACGCCGUCCCCCAAAUACAGUGGCGGUCCCGCCGCAGCUUCCAUUGCGUAGUAGCUAACACCUCGCAACUGGAGAGCGGCGCGGCCACGCCGUAAAACACCCAACUUCUGAAUGUUGACCUCGAAUCAGGUAGGAAUACCCGCUGAACUUAAGC